AUGGCCUCCGACCUCGGGCAACCGCCGCCGGCGAAACGCCCGCCGACGGCGCCCACCACCAUUACUGCUAUCGGCGACGACCUCCUUUGUGAGAUCUUCCUCCUCCUUCCCUCCCUUCCGAGCCUCGUCCGCGCCGCGCUCGCCUGCCGCACCUUCCUCCACGCCGUCCGUUCGUCCCCCGCCUUCCGCCGCCGAUUCCGGGCACUCCACCCGCCGCAGAUCCUUGGCUUCUUCUGCGACCCCGGCCGCGAAGCCGUCCCUCCCUUCGUCCCCCUCCGCAGCCGCUCCGACCCGGACCUAACGGCCGCCGUCCGCGGCGCCGAUUUCCUCCUCACCCGGAUCCCAGAAGACAGCGGCGACUCCACCCUCGGGUGGGAGCUGCAGAGCUUCCACGGCGGCUACGUCGUCCUCGUCAACAAUGCCACCGACCAGAUCGCUGCCUACAACCCCCUCACGCAGGCACUGCAUCUCUUCCCCCACCCGCCCGAGGAUAUCAUCUUCUCCAUCUCCCCUGAGUUCCACAUCCUCUUCUCGGAAGAGGACCAGAGCGUGUUCCGUAUGGUCUGUGUCCAGCACCAGGACACGCCGAGCCUAGCCGUCUUCUCAACGGCGACCAGCGAGUGGCAGGUUUUUCCGUGGGUGGAGACCCCGCCACAUCCUGAAGGCGACGUUCGCUUGUUCUACCCUGGCACGCAGCUGAAUGGAUUUGUCUAUUGGAAACACGCGAGCCAAGCCUAUGUGCUCGCUCUCAACACCGUGACAAUGCAAUUUUCUAGAUUGAGCUUGCCGCAUUUCUUGGCAGAGAUAGAGGAUAUGCUGUUUAGGCUUGGCCAGACCAAGGAUGGGAAGCUCUGUAUGGUUGGGGUAGAUGACUCUGACGCAAAGAUAGGAACACUUGUUGUUCGUGUUUGGGGAGCCGAUGAUGACGGUGUUGAGAAAUGGAUGCUGGAAGAUACUUUUUCACUGAGUACAUUCAUUGAUGUCACUAAGUCUUCAACAGAGUAUGAUUCCACGGUGCAGAUUGAGGCAUUUAUCGAUGGCUUUGUGUACCUCUGUAUUAAGUAUGGUGAGCAUACCGAGUCCCUCAUAUCCCUCUGCCUGGAAACAGGAAAGCUAAACAAGAUAUUUGAUGAUACAUAUACAAGCCCUGCUCAUCCCUACUUCAUGUCAUGGCCUCCUUCUUUGGUAUGCAACAAGGUGAGCCCGUGCUUGAGUACCCUGGUAAAGUAUUUUCAGAUGUUUGGUCCUUAG
rnacentral:rRNA from 1 species